rnacentral:rRNA from 1 species
UAUCUCUGUAGAGUCUGCAUAUCAAUAAGCGGAGGAAAAGAAACUAACAAGGAUUCCCUUAGUAACGGCGAGUGAAGCGGGAAGAGCUCAAAUUUGAAAUCUUCAAGGUUUUACCUUGACGAAUUGUAGUUUAAAGAAGUGUUUUCUGUUGAAGUUUUGGUAAAAGUUCUUUGGAAUAGGACAUCAUAGAGGGUGAGAAUCCCGUAUUUGACCAUUAUUUUCAGCUGUGUGAUACACUUUCAAAGAGUCGGAUUGUUUGGGAAUGCAGUCCAAAAUGGGUGGUAAAUUUCAUCUAAAGCUAAAUAUUGGCGAGAGACCGAUAGCGAACAAGUACCGUGAGGGAAAGAUGAAAAGAACUUUGAAAAGAGAGUUAAACAGUACGUGAAAUUGUCAAAAGGGAAGCGUUUGACACCAGUGUUGUUUUCUCGAAAAUCAAUUAAAAGAUGGAUUUUGUUUUGAUAGUUAUGACUUCAUCAGCUUAGCUUCUUUCUUACGUACUUUCUUAAUGCACUUUUCGUUUAACAAGUCGACAUCAAUUUCUUUUGUUGUAAAAGGGUACAUGGAAGGUGGCUUUCUUUUCGGAGAAAGUGUUUAUAGCCUUGUGCCUCUGCAAUCGGAGAGAUUGAGGUCUGCAGCGUAGAUCCUUCGGGGUUAGAUACAUUUGUGCUAAGUUAUAGCUUUCAUAGACAACUUGUUGACUAUGAUUAGUCAUUGUAGCUUACUCGCUUAUGCUAUUUUACCUACGCUUAGGAUGUUGAUGUGAUACUGCGAGC